AGAAAAAUGACAAGUGAAUAUAAGAGGGGGAGCUACUUGACGAAUGCAUCCUGGCAGAACUAACAGGGAUGAUGGGAGCGUUUAUAAUUUUGGCAAUGGACAAAUGCACUAGUGGCAUCAAUAUAUCUGCAGCCUUCUUGAAAUCUGUUAUAAACAUUAAGGACCAACCAAAUAAGAACAAAUUCCAGACACCAGGUAUUGUGCAGACACCCAGACAUAUCCGCCCUACAGCAAAGAUUGGAUGAAAGAGAAGAUUUAUGUUCUUCUCCGUCGGCAGGCUCAGCAAGUUGGAAAAUAACGCCGUGGGUGAUGCACAUAUGUACAGCAAGCAGUAGAGGAAGGUUUUUUUUUUUUAGUAAUAUAGUGGUUUUGUGUUUUGUUCAUACCAUAGCGGCACUGUUCUAGAUCAAUAUUGGAAAUAUCGUAUGUUGGAAGUUUUUGUUUUGUUUUUUGUUUCAGCUGAAAUGCAAACACAAAGUAUGGACCGUGCAACUGGUCACUUGUACCAGUAAGGAAUAGCCGAAUUAUGCAAUGAUACUCAAUACCAAUUUCCUGUUUUUAAUUUGAUUAAAAAAAAAUAUUCUGGAUUAACUAUCCUGCAAAUAUAAAACUGUAGGUGAACUUAAUAACAUAAAAAAAUAUUUGGUAGAUAAUCAUUGAGGUUUGGUGACUUUUAUUUUCCCCUCCUCCCUGUUUCUGAAUUGACAGUAUAAGUAAAUUAUGCUACCUUAUUGUACAUACUUUAAUCUGAAAAGAUUAAUAUGUAGAAACAUUUGUUAAAAAUCGAUUUUUUUGUUCUGACCUAAAUAUUCUAUAUUGUGCAUGUUGAUUCUUUUU